UCCCUGGUAGUAUAUCGGAUUAGUACACGCGCCUGUCAUUUCCACUGACCGCGCGAGAGCGGGGUUCGACUCCCCGCCAGGGAG